GAUGAACGCUGGCGGCGUGCCUAAUACAUGCAAGUCGAACGAAACUUCUUUAUCACCGAGUGCUUGCACUCACCGAUAAAGAGUUGAGUGGCGAACGGGUGAGUAACACGUGGGCAACCUGCCCAAAAGAGGGGGAUAACACUUGGAAACAGGUGCUAAUACCGCAUAACCAUAGUUACCGCAUGGUAACUAUGUAAAAGGUGGCUAUACUACCGCUUUUGGAUGGGCCCGCGGCGUAUUAGCGAGUUGGUAGGGUAAAGGCUUACCAAGGCAACGAUGCGUAACGGGCAUGAGAGGAUGAUCAGGCACAAUGGAACUGAGACACGGUACAGACUCCUACGGGAGGCAGCAGUGGGGAAUAUUGGAGAAUGGGCGAAAGCCUGAUCCAGCCAUGCCGCGUGUGUGAAGAAGGUCUUCGGAUUGUAAAGCACUUUAAGUUGGGAGAGAGGCCAGUAAGUUAAUACCUUGCUGUUUUGACGUUACCAACAGAAUAAGCCACGGCUCACUUCGUG
rnacentral:rRNA from 1 species